UGAGAAUCUGCCUUUUGGACGGGGAUAACAGUUGGAAACGACUGCUAAGACCCGAUGUGCCUAUGGGUGAAAGUAAUUUAGCCAGAAGAUGAGCUCGCGUCAGAUUAGCUAGUUGGAGUGGUAACGGCACACCAAGGCGACGAUCUGUAGCUGGUCUGAGAGGAUGACCAGCCACACUGGGACUGAGACACGGCCCAGACUCCUACGGGAGGCAGCAGUGGGGAAUUUUCCGCAAUGGGCGAAAGCCUGACGGAGCAAGACCGCGUGGGGGAGGAAGGUCUGUGGAUUGUAAACCCCUUUUGUCAAGGAAGAACACAAUGACGGUACUUGACGAAUCAGCAUCGGCUAACUCCGUGCCAGCAGCCGCGGUAAUACGGAGGAUGCAAGCGUUAUCCGGAUUUAUUGGGCGUAAAGCGUCCGUAGGUGGUUGUUCAAGUCUGCUGUCAAAGCGCGAGGCUUAACUUCGUAAAGGCAGUGGAAACUGAGCGACUUGAGAAUGAUAGGGGCAGAGGGAAUUCCCAGUGUAGCGGUGAAAUGCGUAGAGAUUGGGAAGAACACCGGUGGCGAAAGCGCUCUGCUGGGUCAUAUCUGACACUGAGGGACGAAAGCUAGGGGAGCGAAAGGGAUUAGAUACCCCUGUAGUCCUAGCCGUA
rnacentral:rRNA from 1 species